UGGGGGGUAUCGAUCAGUGAUAGAGUGCUUUCCUACCAUGCACAAGAUCCUGGGUUCAAACCCCAGCCCUGCAA
rnacentral:tRNA from 1 species